GAGCUGUGGGAGCGACUGAGCAGUACACACCAGAUCAGGCACAAGGAAGGAAGCCCUGAGGUUGUGACAGGACUGGCUACAAGUGUUGUCUUUGCUGGGAGAUCCAAGCGUCAUUUGACCUACGGAAGUGACUGGUCCUUCGGGACUGGCAGUAACCUGAACAUUGCUGUGAGUCGUGGGCUUCCAGCUGCUUUAGGCUGCAAUCCCCUGUCGUUAACAUGGUUAUUGGGCU